AAUCAAUGAAAAGGUGGAAGAUUUUUCUAUAAAUAAACCUGGGGAAACCGUGCCUAUCUUGGUAAUUUCGCUCAGUAAUCUUCAACCAGUCUCACGUGACGCAACUGCAUUCUCCCAUCGACCAAGUCGUUAGGUAUAUAUAUAUUUAAUUAUGAUGCUGGAAAUUCUCAAAAUAGUGACGUGCGAGUGUAACACUUCUUUGAAGAGAUCGAUUGACUCUGCUUCUUGCUCUUCUCAGGAGGAGUGUUAACAACUCAUUCAAAUUCGAACAUGUCGUACUCAGGAAAGCAUAUAAAUCUACUAAGGAACCUGCACGAUAUGCUGAUGAAUGAGUGUGAAUGGUGAUGAUUAAUGAUGAGUCGCUUGUUCAGUUGAAUAAUUGACACAAAUAAAGUAUUCUUGAAAUA